rnacentral:rRNA from 1 species
CGUGAAUACAUAGCGUAAUGAAGCGAACCGGGGGAACUGAAACAUCUAAGUACCCCGAGGAAAAGAAAUCAACCGAGAUUCCCCCAGUAGCGGCGAGCGAACGGGGAGCAGCCCAGAGUCUGAAUCAGCUUGUGUGUUAGUGGAACGGUCUGGAAAGUCCGACGGUACAGGGUGAUAGUCCCGUACACCAAAAUGCACAGGUUGUGAACUCGAAGAGUAGGGCGGGACACGUGGUAUCCUGUCUGAAUAUGGGGGGACCAUCCUCCAAGGCUAAAUACUCCUGACUGACCGAUAGUGAACCAGUACCGUGAGGGAAAGGCGAAAAGAACCCCGGCGAGGGGAGUGAAAAAGAACCUGAAACCGUGUACGUACAAGCAGUGGGAGCCUCUUUAUGGGGUGACUGCGUACCUUUUGUAUAAUGGGUCAGCGACUUAUAUUCUGUAGCAAGGUUAACCGUAUAGGGGAGCCGAAGGGAAACCGAGUCUUAACUGGGCGUUAAGUUGCAGGGUAUAGACCCGAAACCCGGUGAUCUAGCCAUGGGCAGGUUGAAGGUUGGGUAACACUAACUGGAGGACCGAACCGACUAAUGUUGAAAAAUUAGCGGAUGACUUGUGGCUGGGGGUGAAAGGCCAAUCAAACCGGGAGAUAGCUGGUUCUCCCCGAAAGCUAUUUAGGUAGCGCCUCGUGAACUCAUCUUCGGGGGUAGAGCACUGUUUCGGCUAGGGGGUCAUCCCGACUUACCAACCCGAUGCAAACUGCGAAUACCGAAGAAUGUUAUCACGGGAGACACACGGCGGGUGCUAACGUCCGUCGUGAAGAGGGAAACAACCCAGACCGCCAGCUAAGGUCCCAAAGUCAUGGUUAAGUGGGAAACGAUGUGGGAAGGCACAGACAGCCAGGAUGUUGGCUUAGAAGCAGCCAUCAUUUAAAGAAAGCGUAAUAGCUCACUGGUCGAGUCGGCCUGCGCGGAAGAUGUAACGGGGCUAAACCAUGCACCGAAGCUGCGGCAGCGACACUAUGUGUUGUUGGGUAGGGGAGCGUUCUGUAAGCCGUUGAAGGUGUGCUGUGAGGCAUGCUGGAGGUAUCAGAAGUGCGAAUGCUGACAUAAGUAACGAUAAUGCGGGUGAAAAACCCGCACGCCGGAAGACCAAGGGUUCCUGUCCAACGUUAAUCGGGGCAGGGUGAGUCGACCCCUAAGGCGAGGCCGAAAGGCGUAGUCGAUGGGAAACAGGUUAAUAUUCCUGUACUUGGUGUUACUGCGAAGGGGGGACGGAGAAGGCUAUGUUAGCCGGGCGACGGUUGUCCCGGUUUAAGCAUGUAGGCGGAGGUUCCAGGUAAAUCCGGUACCUUUUUAACGCUGAGGUGUGAUGACGAGGCACUACGGUGCUGAAGUAACAAAUGCCCUGCUUCCAGGAAAAGCCUCUAAGCAUCAGGUAACACGAAAUCGUACCCCAAACCGACACAGGUGGUCAGGUAGAGAAUACCAAGGCGCUUGAGAGAACUCGGGUGAAGGAACUAGGCAAAAUGGUGCCGUAACUUCGGGAGAAGGCACGCUGAUAUGUAGGUGAAGCGGUUUACCCGUGGAGCUGAAAUCAGUCGAAGAUACCAGCUGGCUGCAACUGUUUAUUAAAAACACAGCACUGUGCAAACACGAAAGUGGACGUAUACGGUGUGACGCCUGCCCGGUGCCGGAAGGUUAAUUGAUGGGGUUAUCCGUAAGGAGAAGCUCUUGAUCGAAGCCCCGGUAAACGGCGGCCGUAACUAUAACGGUCCUAAGGUAGCGAAAUUCCUUGUCGGGUAAGUUCCGACCUGCACGAAUGGCGUAAUGAUGGCCAGGCUGUCUCCACCCGAGACUCAGUGAAAUUGAACUCGCUGUGAAGAUGCAGUGUACCCGCGGCAAGACGGAAAGACCCCGUGAACCUUUACUAUAGCUUGACACUGAACACUGGUCCUUGAUGUGUAGGAUAGGUGGGAGGCUUUGAAGUGUGGACGCCAGUCUGCAUGGAGCCAUCCUUGAAAUACCACCCUUUAAUGGCUGGUGUUCUAACGUGGACCCGUUACCCGGGUUGCGGACAGUGUCUGGUGGGUAGUUUGACUGGGGCGGUCUCCUCCUAAAGAGUAACGGAGGAGCACGAAGGUUAGCUAAUCCUGGUCGGACAUCAGGAGGUUAGUGCAAAGGCAUAAGCUAGCUUGACUGCGAGAGUGACGGCUCGAGCAGGUGCGAAAGCAGGUCUUAGUGAUCCGGUGGUUCUGAAUGGAAGGGCCAUCGCUCAACGGAUAAAAGGUACUCCGGGGAUAACAGGCUGAUACCGCCCAAGAGUUCAUAUCGACGGCGGUGUUUGGCACCUCGAUGUCGGCUCAUCACAUCCUGGGGCUGAAGUAGGUCCCAAGGGUAUGGCUGUUCGCCAUUUAAAGUGGUACGCGAGCUGGGUUUAGAACGUCGUGAGACAGUUCGGUCCCUAUCUGCCGUGGGCGCUGGAGAAUUGAGGGGGGCUGCUCCUAGUACGAGAGGACCGGAGUGGACGCAUCACUGGUGUUCGGGUUGUCAUGCCAAUGGCAUUGCCCGGUAGCUAAAUGCGGAAGAGAUAAGUGCUGAAAGCAUCUAAGCACGAAACUUGCCCCGAGAUGAGUUCUCCCUGA